rnacentral:rRNA from 1 species
UUCCGGUUGAUCCCGCCGGACCCCACUGCUAUCGAGGUGGGACUAAGCCAUGCUAGUUGAGCGCACAGAACUAUGUCUGUGAGCGGCACACUGCUCAGUAACACGUAGCUAACCUACCCUUAGGACGUGGACAACCCCGAGAAAUUGGGGCUAAUCCGCGAUAGAUGUAUUGUCCUGGAAUGGUAUUACGUCUAAAGGUAUCCCAUACAUGUUUGGUAUAUGCCUAAGGAUGGGGCUGCGGCCGAUCAGGCUGUUGGUGAGGUAAUGGCUCACCAAACCUUUGACCGGUACGGGCCAUGAGAGUGGUAGCCCGGAGAUGGACACUGAGACAAGGGUCCAGGCCCUACGGGGCGCAGCAGGCGCGAAACCUCCUCAAUGCACUUACGUGCGAAGGGGCUACCUCGAGUGCCAUCUGAUGAAGGUGGCUUUUCCUAGGUCUAAAAAGCCUUGGGAAUAAGAGGGGGGCAAGACUGGUGUCAGCCGCCGCGGUAACACCAGCCCCUCGAGUGGUGGGGAUGAUUAUUGGGCCUAAAGCGUCCGUAGCCUGCCGUAUAAGUUUCCCGUUAAAUCCAGCGUCUUAAGCGUUGGACCGCGGGAAAUACUGUACGGCUAGAGAGUGGGAGAGGUCAGCGGUAUUCUGGGGGUAGGGGCGAAAUCCUUUGAUCCCCGGAGGACCACCAGUGGCGAAGGCUGCUGUCUAGAACACGUCUGACGGUCAGGGGCGAAAG